AUUGAACGCUGGCGGCAUGCCUUACACAUGCAAGUCGAACGGUAACAGGUCUUCUUAUUCUGACGCUUGACUCACGGGUGCGUAAUACAUCCGAACGUGCCCUAUCGUGGGCUUUAACGAAGCUAAAGCUUUGCUAAUACCACAUCCGAUCUACGGAUCAAAUCCUUGGACCGCCUUGCCUUGCUCGAACGGCUCGGCCUAUGUCCGAUUAGUUAGUUGUUGGGAUAAAAGCUUACCAAGCCGACGAUCUGUAGCUGUUCUGAGAGGACGACCAGCCACACUGGGACGGAGACACGGACCAGAGGCCUGAGGGAGGCAGCAGUGGGGAAUUUUGGACAAUGGGCGAAAGUAUGAUCCAGUCAUGGCGCGUGGAGGAUGAAGGCCUUGGGGUUGUAAACUGCUUUUGUACGGAACGAAAAGACUCUGGUUAAUACGUGGGGUGCAUGACGGUAACGUAAGAAUAAGCACCGGCUAACUACGUG
rnacentral:rRNA from 1 species